AUACCAUGAUGGGAAAACUUUCUCAAUAACCCCUUAAAACUGUCCCAUGCAUCAUAUAAAGAUUCACCUUCUGUUUGUAAGAAAUUAUUGAUAUCUCCUCUCAUCCU